rnacentral:lncRNA from 1 species
CAGGAAUUGAGCCUCCGAUAUUCAAGAGUGACUCAGGCACCUGCACACAUGCACUGUAACCUAGACAAAUGAACUAACUUUGCUUACCUUGAAUGAGAACAAAAUUUAUUGCAUAUAUGUUGCGGAAACAGACUAUGUGAGGAUUGUUUUUGUGAAAUUUGUUGAUUAAAACUUGACAAAAAACGGCUAAUACGGACUGCUAAACUUUUGGUGUUUGUCCAUAUCUGUUCUUGUUGCUUAAAGCCCUUCUGAAAAUGUCGAGAUUCGGUAAGUUUCUUUAAAUAUUUUACAGUUUUUACAGGGCAAACGGCAUGUUUUGAA